UACGGAGGGUGCGAGCGUUGUCCGGAAUCACUGGGCGUAAAGGGCGCGUAGGCGGUCUGCUAAGCGUGCGGUGAAAGCCUGGGGCUCAACCCCAGGUCUGCCGUGCGAACUGGUGGACUAGAGCACUGUAGAGGCAGGUGGAAUUCCGGGUGUAGCGGUGGAAUGCGUAGAGAUCCGGAAGAACACCGGUGGCGAAGGCGGCCUGCUGGGCAGUUGCUGACGCUGAGGCGCGACAGC
rnacentral:rRNA from 1 species